AUGAUUGAAAAAUCCAGGGCAAACUAUCCUCGCGUGCGUGCGACACUCCCACAACGGCUCACCACCGACACGGGUCCCGGUGAAAACGGGACAGAUCACACAGUUGCAACAUCCACUGUUCCUGUGUCCCCCUCUCCAGCCUUAUCCACCCCUUCAAAUGAUGGGAAACCAGAUUUCUUCUCAGAAAAGAUGACAGCAGCAGCGUCUCCUCCUACAUCAGCGGAGCUGCGGCGCACACUAGCUUGAAUCCAAACGGAUGAUUGACAGGGAACGAGGGCUCCAGCAGGAGAGGGGAGGCGGGAACUGUGAAGAAAAUGUUCUGGAGGCGCAUUUCUUUUAUCUGUCUAUGCGGAUAACAGGAAGAAACUGUCAAGUUUGGUCGACGGCACAAGUCAGUCAGGCGUUCAGAAAGUGCUCGCUUCCCGGGGUGUGUCUCUUAUUCUUAUUGCAUUGAAGUCUCGCAUUAUAGAACACAUUUAUACAUAUAAAGCUCGCUCUAUAUAAAUAUACUUUAAUGGUUCAAAAGGGAAAUUGUGAAUACGAUUUAUAAUAAUAAUAAUAAAUAAUAAUAAUAAUAAUAAUAAUAAUUGUAAAAAUAAUAAUCAUUAAACGAAAUAAUUAUGAUUUGCUGUUUCACUUACUGUAUCAGAUCAAGUACUUUAUUAAUCCCGCGGAUAAAAAAAAAGUGAAUAACGAUCAUUAAAGUGAAAAUAUGAGAUUCGAUUAUUAUUAUUAGGAUUGUUGUUGUUAUGAUUACUAAUGCUACUAAAGUAUUUUUUUUUUAUAUCUGAAUAGCCACAUGAAAAUGUGAAAUCUAUUGCUAGCAUAUCAUUCUGGAAUUACUGUCCCUCACAAAACGAUAGUAAUGUAUACUUCUUAGUUAUGAAGGCAGAAAUUAAAGGAGUAAGUUAUGAAAAUCUUGUGCAUGUAACAAGAAAUAUGACAAGGCUAUAUUUUGAUAUCGCGUGUGACUGUAGGUAGGAUGUUAAUAAUUUAACGGUGUUGUAAUUAAACAUCACAAUUGUUAAACUCUGCCUACAUCUAGUGGGCACAUCUGGAAGUACAUGUUGAAAAAAUUAUAUUAAUCUUAAUCAAGUCCUCCUGGUGGAUGCUGUAUGUUAUGCAGGCAUUUUAUUUUUUAAGAUUCAUGGAAAUAUAUAAAAUAUAGCAGAUAAAUCUAUACAGAACACCUGUAGUGCUAUCAUGUAAAUCAAUGAUUGUGAUGUAGACAAAAAUAUGCCCAUAUUUAUUUUUGUCAAUACAUUAUUCCAUUCUUAUGAUGACCAUUUUUCAUAUGAUUAAUCUUUUAUGAAAAUCAAAAAGCAAAACGACUUAUCUUUUUAAUUAUGAAUUAUAUCAAUCACGUAAAUGGCAGUCUAUAUUAUCAAUUCAAAACAAUGACAUUUAACCAAAAACAAAGAAAUAAAAGGAAUGAAAAUAAAUAAAGGGUUGUAUGCAUCCCUUAUAAAAGUUGUCAACUUGUUUAGAUAUUUACAUCUUACCUCACACUUUUUCACCAUUAAAAACAGAUUCUCCCCACUGAAGCCCACCUUCUUUGAUUUGAUUGGUCAUCUCAAUCAUUGAAGAGGAAGAUAUUUAUUGUCAAAUAUUCAAGGGACAAUUUGGCCAUUUCUUAUUACUGUCCCCCUCAGACAAAAAAAUCCAUUUAGCUCUGAAACGACAUGAGAAUGAGUAAAUUA
ensembl:lncRNA